rnacentral:rRNA from 1 species
UACGGAGGAUGCAAGCGUUAUCCGGAAUGAUUGGGCGUAAAGCGUCCGCAGGUGGUUAAGAAAGUCUGCUGUUAAAGAGUGAGGCUUAACCUCAUAAGGGCAGUGGAAACUAAUUGACUAGAGUACGUUCGGGGCAAGGGGAAUUCCCAGUGUAGCGGUGAAAUGCGUAGAGAUUGGGAAGAACACCGGUGGCGAAAGCGCCUUGCUAGGCCGUAACUGACACUGAGGGACGAAAGCUAGGGGAGCGAAUGGG